rnacentral:rRNA from 1 species
ACGCUCGACACCUACGGUAGGCAGCAGUGGGGAAUAUUGCACAAUGGGGGAAACCCUGAUGCAGCGACGCCGCGUGAGCGAAGAAGUAUUUCGGUAUGUAAAGCUCUAUCAGCAGGGAAGAUAAUGACGGUACCUGACUAAGAAGCUCCGGCUAAAUACGUGCUAGCAGCGCGGUAAUCUGAGCGGGCUGGCAAGGC